AUUGAACGCUGGCGGCAUGCUUUACACAUGCAAGUCGAACGGUAACAGGCCGCAAGGUGCUGACGAGUGGCGAACGGGUGAGUAAUGCAUCGGAACGUGCCCAGUCGUGGGGGAUAACGCAGCGAAAGCUGUGCUAAUACCGCAUAUGAACUAUGGAUGAAAGCGGGGGACCGUAAGGCCUCGUGCGAUUGGAGCGGCCGAUGUCAGAUUAGGUAGUUGGUGGGGUAAAGGCUCACCAAGCCAACGAUCUGUAGCUGGUCUGAGAGGACGACCAGCCACACUGGGACUGAGACACGGCCCAGACUCCUACGGGAGGCAGCAGUGGGGAAUUUUGGACAAUGGGCGCAAGCCUGAUCCAGCAAUGCCGCGUGCAGGAAGAAGGCCUUCGGGUUGUAAACUGCUUUUGUACGGAACGAAAGGGUUUGGGUUAAUACCCUGGGCCGAUGACGGUACCGUAAGAAUAAGCACCGGCUAACUACGUGCCAGCCGCCGCAGUAAUAC
rnacentral:rRNA from 1 species